rnacentral:rRNA from 1 species
AUUGAACGCUGGCGGCAUGCCUUACACAUGCAAGUCGAACGGUAACGCGGGGCAACCUGGCGACGAGUGGCGAACGGGUGAGUAAUGCAUCGGAACGUACCCAGUAGUGGGGGAUAGCCCGGCGAAAGCCAGAUUAAUACCGCAUACGACCUAAGGGUGAAAGCGGGGGACCGUAAGGCCUCGCGCUAUUGGAGCGGCCGAUGUCAGAUUAGGUAGUUGGUGGGGUAAAGGCCUACCAAGCCUUCGAUCUGUAGCUGGUCUGAGAGGACGACCAGCCACACUGGGACUGAGACACGGCCCAGACUCCUACGGGAGGCAGCAGUGGGGAAUUUUGGACAAUGGGCGCAAGCCUGAUCCAGCCAUGCCGCGUGCGGGAAGAAGGCCUCGG